GCUACUGUGGCGGAAUAGGCAGACGCAUGGGACUUAAAAUCCCACGCUGUAAAAGGCGUAUCGGUUCAAGUCCGAUCAGUAGCACCA
rnacentral:tRNA from 1 species